UUUGUUCUAGUUAGGUUCAUUCUUUUUUACUGUGGACUGUUUUAAUUUUCCGCGUUUGAGGAAUGUCUUUUAGUCAUAGGGAUAGACUAUUAGAAUGUUAACCGAGCUGAAAUCAGGUUUAGACCUGGUAUCCUAUUAAUUAUUUACCAAAAGAAUUCAUUAUUAUUAUUGUAACAUAAGCGUAAAAAACUUAUAAAACAACUUUUAACAACGGAUCUCUUGGUUCUCGCAUCGAUGAAGAACGUAGCAAAGUGCGAUAACUAGUGUGAAUUGCAUAUUCAGUGAAUCAUCGAGUCUUUGAACGCAACUUGCGCUAAAUGGUAUUCCAUUGAGCACGCCUGUUUCAGUAUCAAAAACACCCCACAUUCAUAAUUUUGUUGUGAAUGGAACUGAAAAUUUCGACUUUUUUGAAUUCUUUAAACUUAUUAGGCCUGAACUAUUGUUCUUUCUGCCUGAACAUUUUUUUAAUAUAAAGGAAUGCUCUAGUAUUAAGACUAUCUCUGGGGCCUCCCAAAUAAAAGUUUCUUAAAUU
rnacentral:sRNA from 1 species